GUAACGCCCCGAAUUCUAAUAACCCGAAAUGUUACGAAACAUGAAUAUACCUUGAAAUAAACAAUUUUAAUAUAACGAGAAAUUCUGUAAAAGAUUGAAUAACAUUUAAUCAAAAGAUAAAUUUAAAUAUGCGGAACGUUUGAAAACAUAUCAUUCAUCCAAAAAUUAUUAGAACAGUUAAAACUAAUUAAAAAUUUAUAAUGCA
rnacentral:lncRNA from 1 species